rnacentral:rRNA from 1 species
AUUGAACGCUGGCGGCAGGCCUAACACAUGCAAGUCGAACGAGUGGCGGACGGGUGAGUAAUGUCUGGGACACUGCCUGAUGGAGGGGUAUAACCACUGGAAACGGUAGCUUAUACCGCAUACUAUCGGAUGUGCCCAGAUGGGAUUAGCUAGUAGGGGGGGUAAUGGCUCACCUAGGCGACUAUCUCUAGCUGGUCUGAGAGGAUGACCAGCCACACUGGAACUGAGACACGGUCCAGACUCCUACGGGAGGCAGCAGUGGGGAAUAUUGCACAAUGGGCGCAAGCCUGAUGCAGCCAUGCCGCGUGUGUGAAGAAGGCCUUCGGGUUGUAAAGUACUUUCAGCGGGGAGGCGUUACCCGCAGAAGAAGCACCGGCUAACUCCGUGCCAGCAGCCGCGGUAAUUC